AAGCUCGUCCCGACACUGGCCUCCCACAGCUCAGUGUUCUCACGUUAUCUUCUCCAGAAGUCCGAUUUCACAUGGACAGUGAGACUCAUGAUCCUAUCAAUCUGCAAACUGAAGAAUUAAAGCUACACAUCUGACGCCAUGAGCCUGCGA